rnacentral:rRNA from 1 species
GAUGAACGCUAGCGGCAGGCCUAACACAUGCAAGUCGAGGGGGAAGUUACUUUCGGGUGACUGAGACCGGCGUACGGGUGCGUAACGCGUAUACAAUCUGCCUUUCACUGGGGGAUAGCUCGAAGAAAUUUGGAUUAAUACCCCAUAGUAUAUAGGGACGGCAUCGUUUUUAUAUUAAAGCUUAGGCGGUGAAAGAUGAGUAUGCGUUCUAUUAGCUAGUUGGAGAGGUAACGGCUCCCCAAGGCGAUGAUAGAUAGGGGUUCUGAGAGGGAUGUCCCCCACACUGGUACUGAGAUACGGACCAGACUCCUACGGGAGGCAGCAGUGAGGAAUAUUGGACAAUGGUCGGAAGACUGAUCCAGCCAUGCCGCGUGCAGGAUGGAGGUCUUAUGGAUUGUAAACUGCUUUUGGAAGGGAAGAAUAAGGGCUACGCGUAGUUUGAUGACGGUACCUUACGAAUAAGCAUCGGCUAACUCCGUG